rnacentral:siRNA from 1 species
UCCAAUAUUUAGCUAUGAGCCUA